rnacentral:rRNA from 1 species
AGAGUUUGAUCCUGGCUCAGGAUGAACGCUAGCUACAGGCUUAACACAUGCAAGUCGAGGGGAAACGAUAUUGGAAGCUUGCUUCCGAUAGGCGUCGACCGGCGCACGGGUGAGUAACGCGUAUCCAACCUGCCCAUCACUUGGGGAUAACCUUGCGAAAGUAAGACUAAUACCCAAUGACGUCUCUAGAAGACAUCUGAAGGAGAUUAAAGAUUUAUCGGUGAUGGAUGGGGAUGCGUCUGAUUAGCUUGUUGGCGGGGUAACGGCCCACCAAGGCAACGAUCAGUAGGGGUUCUGAGAGGAAGGUCCCCCACAUUGGAACUGAGACACGGUCCAAACUCCUACGGGAGGCAGCAGUGAGGAAUAUUGGUCAAUGGGCGAGAGCCUGAACCAGCCAAGUAGCGUGCAGGAAGACGGCCCUAUGGGUUGUAAACUGCUUUUAUAAGGGAAUAAAGUUAGUCUCGUGAGACUUUUUGCAUGUACCUUAUGAAUAAGGACCGGCUAAUUCCGUGCCAGCAGCCGCGGUAAUACGGAAGGUCCGGGCGUUAUCCGGAUUUAUUGGGUUUAAAGGGAGCGUAGGCCGGAGAUUAAGCGUGUUGUGAAAUGUAGACGCUCAACGUCUGCACUGCAGCGCGAACUGGUUUCCUUGAGUACGCACAAAGUGGGCGGAAUUCGUGGUGUAGCGGUGAAAUGCUUAGAUAUCACGAAGAACUCCGAUUGCGAAGGCAGCUCACUGGAGCGCAACUGACGCUGAAGCUCGAAAGUGCGGGUAUCGAACAGGAUUAGAUACCCUGGUAGUCCGCACGGUAAACGAUGGAUGCCCGCUGUUGGUCUGAACAGGUCAGCGGCCAAGCGAAAGCAUUAAGCAUCCCACCUGGGGAGUACGCCGGCAACGGUGAAACUCAAAGGAAUUGACGGGGGCCCGCACAAGCGGAGGAACAUGUGGUUUAAUUCGAUGAUACGCGAGGAACCUUACCCGGGCUUGAAUUGCAGAGGAAGGAUUUGGAGACAAUGACGCCCUUCGGGGUCUCUGUGAAGGUGCUGCAUGGUUGUCGUCAGCUCGUGCCGUGAGGUGUCGGCUUAAGUGCCAUAACGAGCGCAACCCCUCUCCUUAGUUGCCAUCAGGUUAAGCUGGGCACUCUGGGGACACUGCCACCGUAAGGUGUGAGGAAGGUGGGGAUGACGUCAAAUCAGCACGGCCCUUACGUCCGGGGCUACACACGUGUUACAAUGGCAGGUACAGAG